rnacentral:rRNA from 1 species
GAGGAACCUGCCCUAUAAUUGAUGAUCCACGAUUUAAUUUACUUAUUCUUUAAAUUUACAUAUCGCCGUAGGUUGAAUAUUCACUAAAGAGUUAAAAUAUUCAAGAUUUUUUAAGAAAAAUAAAUCAGGUCAAGGUGUAGUUUAUGGAUAAGAAGAGGUGGGUUACAAUAAAUUUAUUUAUUACGGAUUUUAAAAUGAAUAUUUUAAAUGAAGGAGGAUUUGAAGGUAAUUAUAUUUAAAUUAAUAUAAUGAUUCUAGCUCUAAAAUACGUACAUAUCGCCCGUCGCUUUCAUUAUAAAAUGGAAUAAGUCGUAACAAAGUAGGGGUACUGGAAAGUGCCCCUAGAAAGUCAAAUUAGAGCUAGAUUAAAGCAUUUUAGUUACAUUAAAAAGUUUAUUGUAAAUUCAAUAUAAUUUGAACUUUUAUUAUUAUUGUUUUAUCAGCUUCCUGGUGAAUUUUAUUUGCAACUUAAAAUAAGAAUAUUUUUGUUAAGUAAUUUUUAUGAACAAAUUAUAAUUAUUAUAGUAAAUUAGUAUUGUGAAAGAAUUAAUAAAAGUAAAUAAAAGAAAAAUUCAUUUUUUGUACCUUGUGUAUCAGGGUUUAUCAAAUAUAAAUUAAAUAUUUAAUUUUCCCGAAUUAAUAAGAGCUAAAAUUAUAUAUCUAUUUUUGUUGAAUAAAAAUUGUUAAUAUUAUUUUAGAAGUGAAACGCUAUUCGAUUAUUAAUAUAUCUGGUUUUUAAAGAAAAAAGUUUAAUUUUUUUAUAAAUAAAUAUAAUUUUAAAUUUUUAAUUUUAUAUUUUUUAUAUUUUAUAUCUUAAGGGAUGAGCUUUAAGGUAGAUUUUUUUAAAGUUAAUAGAAUUUCUAGAUAAGUAGAAUUGUAAGUUUUUAUCUUUAAAAGUGUGUUGUUACUUUUUUAGUAAAAAAUAUAAUUUAUAUAUUAAUUUUGAAGUGAUUUAUUUAAAUUAAAAUUUUAAUAAGAAAAAUUUUGUAAUAAUGAUAAAAUAAGUAUAAAAUUUUGUUUAAAUUUAUAUAGAUGAAAGGUUGAAUAAAGGAAUUCGGCAAAUUUAUUUUUCACCUGUUUAUUAAAAACAUGGCUUUUUGAUUAUAAUUUAAAGUCUGGCCUGCCCACUGAGGAGUUAAAUGGCCGCGGUAUUUUGACCGUGCAAAGGUAGCAUAAUCAUUAGUUUUUUAAUUGAAAGCUGGUAUGAAAGGUUGGAUGAGAAAAUAACUGUCUCUAUUUAAUUUUUUUAGAAAUUUAUUUUUAAGUAAAAAAGCUUAAAUAAUAUUUGAAGACGAGAAGACCCUAUAGAGUUUUAUUAUUUUUUGUUUAAAAUUUAUUAGUAUUAAG